rnacentral:lncRNA from 1 species
GGAAGUGAGGAGCGUCUCUGCCCGGCCGCCCAUCGUCUGAGAUGUGGGGAGAGCCUCUGCCCCGCCGCCCCAUCUGGGAUGUGAGGAGCGCCUCUGCCCGGCGGCGACCCCGUCUGGGAGGUGAGGAGCGUCUCUGCCCAGCCGCCCCGUCUGAGAAGUGAGGAGACCCUCCGCCCAGCAUCCGCCCCAUCUGAGAAGUGAGGAGCCCCUCCGCCCGGCAGCCGCCCCGUCUGAGAAGUGAGGAGUCCCUCUGCCCGGCAGCCACCCCGUCUGGGAAGUGAGGAGCGUCUCCGCCCGGCAGCCGCCCCGUCCGGGAGGGAGGUGGGGGGGUCAGCCCCCCAUCCGGGAGGGAGGUGGGGGCGGUCAGCCCCCCGCCCGGCCAGCCGCCCCGUCCGGGAGGGAGGUGGGGGGGUCAGCCCCCUGCCCGGCCAGCCGCCCCGUCCGGGAGGUGAGGGGCGCCUCUGCCCAGCCGCCCCUACUGGGAAGUGAGGAGCCCCUCUGCCUGGCCAGCCACCCUGUCCAGGAGGGAGGUGGGGGAGUCAGCCCCCCACCCGGCCAGCCGCCCCGUCCGGGAGGGAGGUGGGGGGGUCAGCCCCCCGCCCGGCCAGCCGCCCCGUCCAGGAGGGAGGUGGGGGGGUCAGCCCCCCGCCCGGCCAGCCACCCCGUCCGGGAGGGAGGUGGGGGUGUCAGCCCCACGUCCGGGAGGGAGGUGGGGGGGUUCAGCCCCCCGCCCGGCCAGCCGCCCCGUCUGGGAGGGAGGUGGGGUCAGCCCCCCGCCCGGCCAGCCGCCCCGUCCGGGAGGUGAGGGGCGCCUCUGCCCAGCCGCCCCUACUGGGAAGUGAGGAGCCCCUCUGCCGGGCCAGCCACCCCGUCCGGGAGGGAGGUGGGGGGCUCAGCCCCCCGCCCGGCCAGCCGACCCGUCCGG